rnacentral:rRNA from 1 species
GCCCAGAGAAAUUUGGAUUAAUACCCCGUAACAUGACCGAGUGGCAUCACUUGGUUAUUAUAGCUUCGGCGCUAAAUGAUGGGUGUGCGUAUGAUUAGAUAGUUGGCGAGGUAACGGCUCACCAAGUCUACGAUCAUUAGCUGAUGUGAGAGCAUGAUCAGCCACACGGGCACUGAGACACGGGCCCGACUCCUACGGGAGGCAGCAGUAAGGAAUAUUGGUCAAUGGACGCAAGUCUGAACCAGCUAUGCCGCGUGAAGGAUUAAGGUCCUCUGGAUUGUAAACUUCUUUUAUCUGGGACGAAAAAAGGUCUUUCUAGACCCCUUGACGGUACCAGAUGAAUAAGCACCGGCUAACUCCGUGCCAGCAGCCGCGGUAAUACGGAGGGUGCAGGCGUUAUCCGGAUUCACUGGGUUUAAAGGGUGCGUAGGCGGGUAGGUAAGUCAGUGGUGAAAUCCUGGAGCUCAACUCCAGAACUGCCAUUGAUACUAUCUAUCUUGAAUAUUGUGGAGGUAAGCGGAAUAUGUCAUGUAGCGGUGAAAUGCUUAGAUAUGACAUAGAACACCCAUUGCGAAGGCAGCUUACUACGCAUAUAUUGACGCUGAGGCACGAAAGCGUGGGGAUCAAACAGGGUUAGAUACCCUGGUAGUCCACGCCCUAAACGAUGGAUACUCGACAUACGCGAUACACUGUGUGUGUCUGAGCGAAAGCAUUAAGUAUCCCACCUGGGAAAGUACGUUCGCAAGAAUGAAACUCAAAGGAAUUGGCGGGGGUCCGCACAAGCG